rnacentral:rRNA from 1 species
UACGUAGGUGGCAAGCGUUGUCCGGAUUUACUGGGCGUAAAGAGCGCGCAGGCGGUUCGAUCAAGUCGCGUGUGAAAGCCCCCGGCUCAACUGGGGAGGGUCACGCGAUACUGAUCGACUCGAAGGCAGGAGAGGGGUAGUGGAAUUCCCGGUGUAGUGGUGAAAUGACGUAGAUAUCGGGAGGAACACCGAGUGGCGAA